rnacentral:rRNA from 1 species
UACGUAGGGUGCAAGCGUUGUCCGGAAUCACUGGGCGUAAAGCGCGCGUAGGCGGUCUGUUAAGUGGGAUGUGAAAUCCCCGGGCUUAACCUGGGAAUUGCAUUUCAAACUGGCCGACUAGAGUACGGUAGAGGGAGGUAGAAUUUCCUGUGUAGCGGUGAAAUGCGUAGAUAUAGGAAGGAAUACCAGUGGCGAAGGCGGCCUCCUGGAUCGAUACUGACGCUGAGGCGCGAAAGCGUGGGGAGCAAACAGG